GGAGUUAGCCGGUGCUUCUUCUGCGAGUAACGUCACAGAUGUAAGGUAUUAACUUACACCCUUUCCUCCUCGCUGAAAGUGCUUUACAACCCGAAGGCCUUCUUCACACACGCGGCAUGGCUGCAUCAGGGUUUCCCCCAUUGUGCAAUAUUCCCCACCUGCUGCCUCCCGUAGGAGUCUGGGCCGGUGUCUCAGUCCCACGUGUGGCUGAUCAUCCUCUCAGACCAGCUAGGGAUCGUCGCCUAGGUGAGCCUUUACCUCACCUACUAGCUAAUCCCACCUGGGCUUAUCCAUCAGCGCAAGGCCCGAAGGUCCCCUGCUUUCCCCCGUAGGGCGUAUGCGGUAUUAGCAGUCGUUUCCAACUGUUAUCCCCCACAAAUGGGCAAAUUCCCAGGCAUUACUCACCCGUCCGCCGCUCGUCAUCUUCAAAAGCAAGCUUUUGAAAUGUUACCGCUCGACUUGCAUGUGUUAGGCCUGCCGCCAGCGUUCAAUCUGAACCAAGAUCAAAUUCUGA
rnacentral:rRNA from 1 species